rnacentral:misc_RNA from 1 species
CUGCUGUGCAUCCCGCCGCAGCCAUAUCCCAACGCUCGCCAUGGCCCUACCUCGACGCUCGGCCAUGGCGGCGCAUCUGCGCUCGGCGGCGGUGCGUCUCGGCGCUCUCUGGCCGAAGAUGAGGGGCGGUGCGUCUCGGCGCUCUCCCAACUGGCGGCGCGCGACAGCUCCCUACAGGCCCAUGCCAGGCGCCACGUACCGGAGACUCCUUGUCGUUGCGCCACUCUCUCCGCCCGCGGCCCGUCCAGGCCCAUGCUAGGCGCCCGCGGCAAGGUUGCCGGAGCCGCCGAGGCGGGCGUUCCACUGUUCUACGGCCCCCCUGGGGUUCAGGUCCACCCCAGCGUCGUGGGCCGGUCCCUGUCCGAGGGAGGGCGAGGGCGUGGAUACGGGGACUGA